ensembl:lncRNA
ACGAGGACCUCCGGGUCGUCUUCCAUCUUCACUUUCCCCUCGUUUAUCAGUUUGUCCUCCGACACACCUGACAGGCUGAUACACACACAGAGACACGGAGACAGAGACUGGGUGAGCAGCAGGGCUAGUGUAACCCGGUAUGUACUCCCACACACACACACACACACACACACACACACACACACACACACACACACACCGACACUAACUGCCUGCUAAAAUCUGCUCUAGCAUAGUCUGCAAUCCCUCCACUGAUAUUCAGACAGCUCAUCACACACACACACACACACACACACACACACACACACACACACACACACACACACAGAGAGAGAAAGGACCAUGAGUCUCGCAGCAUGGGGCUGCUAAAAUCUGCCCCAACACACACGCUUUGGUUUACAAGUCUAGCUGCUGGGCAAAAGACUUGAAAUAAGCAUGACUAAGACACGCCAAGGAGACUCAGAUAGAGACGGAGAGACAGACAGAGAGAGAGAAAGAGAGAGAGGGUCAGAGAGACAGAGAGAGAGGGUCAGAGAGACAGAGAGAGAGAGAGAGAGAGAGAGAGAGAGACAGGGUCAGAGAGACAGAGAGAGAGAGAGAGAGAGGGUCAGAGAGACAGAGAGAGAGAGAGAGGGUCAGAGAGACAGAAAGAGAGAGAGGGUCAGAGAGACAGAUAGAAAGAGAGAGAGGGUCAGAGAGACAGAGAGAGAGAAAGAGAGAGAGGGUCAGAGAGACAGAUAGAAAGAGAGAGAGACAGAAAGAGAGAAAGAGACAGAGAAAGAGAGAGAGGGUCCAAGAGACAGACAGAGAGAGCGACAGAGAGAAAGAGAGAGAGGGUCAGAGAGACAGAUAGAGAGACAGAAAGACAGAAUGACAGAGAGAGUGAGAGAGGGUCAGGGAGACAGACAGAGAGAAAGAAUGAGAGAGAGGGUCAGAGAGACAGAGAGAGAAGGAGACAGAAAGACAGAAUGAGAGACAGAGAGAGAAGGAGACAGAAUGAGAGACAGAGAGAGAAGGAGACAGAAAGACAGAAUGAGAGACAGAAAGAGAAGGAGACAGAAAGACAGAAUGAGAGACAGAAUGAGAGACAGAGAGAAGGAGACAGAAAGACAGAAUGAGAGACAGAGAGAGAGAGAGACAGAAAGACAGAAUGAGAGACAGAGAGAGAAAGAGACAGAAAGACAGAAUGAGAGACAGAAUGAGAGACAGAGAGAAGGAGACAGAAAGACAGAAUGAGAGACAGAAUGAGAGACAGAGAGAAGGAGACAGAAAGACAGAAUGAGAGACAGAAUGAGAGACAGAGAGAAGGAGACAGAAAGACAGAAUGAGAGACAGAAUGAGAGACAGAGAGAAGGAGACAGAAAGACAGAAUGAGAGACAGAGAGAAGGAGACAGAAUGAGAGACCGAGAGAGAAGGAGACAGAAUGAGAGACAGAGAGAAGGAGACAGAAUGAGAGACCGAGAGAGAAGGAGACAGAAUGAGAAGUCGUUUGUUUGUGCUCUACGGUGAAGACGUUGGGGUUCGAGAUGAAAAGCUGGACGUGAGUGUAGGAUUUCAGCUUUUACCUCCUGGCGUUUACAUCUAGACGUCUUUAACGACUUAACACACAGAACCUUUCGGAUCAGACCUCCCAGUGUUUCGGUGAGCAAAAGUAUUGGAACAGAUCAGUCUUGAAGUAAAUGAAAGUAAAU